rnacentral:rRNA from 1 species
AUAUAGAGGNUCUCUGGUGAAUCAUGAUAACUAGUCGAAUCGACAGGCCUUGUGCCGGCGAUGGCUCAUUCAAAUUUCUUCCCUAUCAACUUUCGAUGUUUGGGUCUUGUCCAAACAUGGUGGCAACGGGUAACGGAGGGUUAGGGCUCGACCCCGGAGAAGGAGCCUGAGAAACGGCUACUACAUCCAAGGAAGGCAGCAGGCGCGCAAAUUACCCAAUCCCGACACGGGGAGGUAGUGACAAUAAAUACUGAUACAGGGCUCUUUUGGGUCUUGUAAUCGGAAUGAGUACAAUUUAAAUCCCUUAACGAGGAACAAUUGGAGGGCAAGUCUGGUGCCAGCAGCCGCGGUAAUUCCAGCUCCAAUAGCGUAUAUUAAAGUUGUUGUGGUUAAAAAGCUCGUAGUUGAACCUUGGGCCUGGNUGGCCGGUCCGCCUCACCGCGUGCACUGGUCCGGCCGGGCCUUUUCCCUCUGCGGAACCCCAUGCCCUUCACUGGGUGUGGCGGGGAAACAGGACUUUUACUUUGAAAAAAUUAGAGUGCUCAAGGCAGGCCUAUGCUCGAAUACAUUAGCAUGGAAUAAUAGAAUAGGACGUGUGGUUCUAUUUUGUUGGUUUCUAGGACCGCCGUAAUGAUUAAUAGGGACAGUCGGGGGCAUCAGUAUUCAAUUGUCAGAGGUGAAAUUCUUGGAUUUAUUGAAGACUAACUACUGCGAAAGCAUUUGCCAAGGAUGUUUUCAUUAAUCAGGAACGAAAGUU